UACGAAGGGGGCUAGCGUUGUUCGGAAUUACUGGGCGUAAAGCGCACGUAGGCGGAUAUUUAAGUCGGGGGUGAAAUCCCGGGGCUCAACCCCGGAACUGCCUUCGAUACUGGGUAUCUUGAGUUCGGAAGAGGUGAGUGGAAUUGCGAGUGUAGAGGUGAAAAUUCGUAGAUAUUCGCAGGAACACCAGUGGCGAAGGCGGCUCACUGGUCCGAUACUGACGCUGAGGUGCGAAAGCGUGGGAGCAAACAGG
rnacentral:rRNA from 1 species